GAUGAACGCUGACAGAAUGCUUAACACAUGCAAGUCAACUUGAACUUCGGUUUGGGUGGCGGACGGGUGAGUAACGCGUACAGAACUUGCCUCACAGCUAGGGACAACAUUUGGAAACGAAUGCUAAUACCUGAUAUUAUGAUUAUAUGGCAUCGUAUAAUUAUGAAAGCUAUAUGCGCUGUGAGAGAGCUUUGCGUCCCAUUAGCUAGUUGGAGAGGUAACAGCUCACCAAGGCGAUGAUGGGUAGCCGGCCUGAGAGGGUGAUCGGCCACAAGGGGACUGAGACACGGCCCUUACUCCUACGGGAGGCAGCAGUGGGGAAUAUUGGACAAUGGACCGAGAGUCUGAUCCAGCAAUUCUGUGUGCACGAUGAAGUUUUUCGGAAUGUAAAGUGCUUUCAGUUGGGAAGAAAAAAAUGACGGUACCAACAGAAGAAGAGACGGCUAAAUACGUG
rnacentral:rRNA from 1 species